AAGUCGUAACAAGGUUUCCGUAGGUGAACCUGCGGAAGGAUCAUUAUUGAAUAUUCUUGAUGGGUUGUAGCUGGCUCUUCGGGGCAUGUGCACGCUUGUCUUGAUUUUAUUCGUCCACCUGUGCACCUUUUGUAGUCUUGUGGGUUGAGAGCAGUCAACUAUCGGACAGCUAUUACGGCCGCUCCGGAUGUGAGGAAUGCUGAGUGCGAAAGCAUACAGCUCUUCUCAAAACGAUUGCAAUACCUCUCCCUCGAGUACUAUGUAUUCAUAUACCACUUGUAUGUUGUAGAAUGUGAUCAAUGGGCUUAUGUGCCUAUAAUAAUCAAUACAACUUUCAGCAACGGAUCUCUUGGCUCUC
rnacentral:misc_RNA from 1 species